rnacentral:rRNA from 1 species
AGAGUUGAUCAUGGCUCAGAACGAACGCUGGCGGCAUGCCUAACACAUGCAAGUCGAACGAAGCCUUCGGGCUUAGUGGCGCACGGGUGCGUAACGCGUGGGAAUCUGCCCUUGGUUCGGAAUAACAGUUAGAAAUGACUGCUAAUACCGGACGAUGUCUUCGGACCAAAGAUUUAUCGCCCAAGGAUGAGCCCGCGUAGGAUUAGGUAGUUGGUGGGGUAAUGGCCCACCAAGCCGACGAUCCUUAGCUGGUCUGAGAGGAUGAUCAGCCACACUGGGACUGAGACACGGCCCAGACUCCUACGGGAGGCAGCAGUGGGGAAUAUUGGACAAUGGGCGAAAGCCUGAUCCAGCAAUGCCGCGUGAGUGAUGAAGGCCUUAGGGUUGUAAAGCUCUUUUACCAGGGAUGAUAAUGACAGUACCUGGAGAAUAAGCUCCGGCUAACUCCGUG